GAUGAACGCUGGCGGCGUGCUUAACACAUGCAAGUCACGGGGGCCAGCAAUGGGUAACCGGCGAACGGGUGCGUAACACGUGAGCAACCUACCGAAAUGAGGGGGAGUAGCCGUCCCAACGGACGGGUAAUACCGCAUAAGCUCUUGUCCAGGCAUUUGGAUUAGAGGAAACCUCCGGGGCAUUUCGAGGGGCUCGCGGCCUAUCAGCUAGUUGGUGAGGUAACGGCUCACCAAGGCGACGACGGGUAGCUGGUCUGAGAGGAUGGCCAGCCACAUUGGGACUGAGAUACGGCCCAGACUCCUACGGGAGGCAGCAGUGGGGAAUCUUGCGCAAUGGCCUAACGGCUGACGCAGCGACGCCGCGUGAGGGAUGACGCUCUUCGGAGUGUAAACCUCUUUUGCCUGAGACGAAUUGCCAGCUUCAGCUGGUUUGACUGUAUCGGGUGAAUAAGCACCGGCUAACUCCGUGCCAGCAGCCGCCGCAGUAAC
rnacentral:rRNA from 1 species